UCUGACAUACAAAACCAGUCUCUCUUCCACUCCUUUAUUUACUUACGCGUAUAACAAUGUUCUGAGUUUACCCAGGGAAAGGGGUUAGGGUCCCAGGGUCAGGGUUCCAGGGUUAGGGUCCCAGGGUCAGGGUUCCAGGGUUAGGGUUCCAGGGUUAGGGUCCCAGGGUCAGGGUUCCAGGGUUAGGGUCCCAGGGUCAGGGUGUUCCAGGGUUAGGGUUCCAGGGUUAGGGUCCCAGGGUCAGGGUUCCAGGGUUAGGGUCCCAGGGUUAGUGUUCCAGGGAAAGGGAUUAGGGUCCCAGGGUUAGGGUUCCAGGGUUAGGGGUUAGGGUCCCAGGGUCAGGGGUUAGGGUCAGGGUCCCAGGGUUUCUAGAAGACUGAAAUGAGUUUUCUUAGCUUACUCUGUUUCUGAAGAGGGGUGUAAAUGAUGGUUGAUUUGGAAAAAUGGCAAAUACUCUCAGCCAAUCAGCCAGCAUCGUGAUGCUUUCAUACCUACUUUUCCAACAUGAACUUC